GACGAACGCUGGCGGCGUGCCUAAUACAUGCAAGUAGAACGCACAGUUUAUACCGUAGCUUGCUACACCAUAGACUGUGAGUUGCGAACGGGUGAGUAACGCGUAGGUAACCUGCCUGGUAGCGGGGGAUAACUAUUGGAAACGAUAGCUAAUACCGCAUAAUAUUAAUUAUUGCAUGAUAAUUAAUUGAAAGGUGCAAUUGCACCACUACCAGAUGGACCUGCGUUGUAUUAGCUAGUAGGUGAGGUAACGGCUCACCUAGGCGACGAUACAUAGCCGACCUGGAGAGGUGGUCGGCCACACUGGGACUGGAGCACGGCCCAAGAUCCUAAGGGAGGCAGGAGUAGGGAAACUUCGGCAAUGGACGGAAGUCUGACCGGGGAACGCCGCGUGAGUGGAGGAGGUUCUCGGGUCGGAAAGCUCUGUUGUAAGGGAAGAACGGGUGUGGUAGUGGAAAGUUCACACUGUGACGGUAUCUUACCAGAAAGGGACGGCUAACUACGUG
rnacentral:rRNA from 1 species